rnacentral:lncRNA from 1 species
UUUGACUUGGAGCCCAAGAAAGUAUAUAUGUUCACCAACAAGACUCAUUUCAAACUCAGAUUGCAUUUUCCUGACAAAAUGUUGUACCAUCUAGUUUGACAUCCCUCCAAACACAAUGUCAUCAACAUAUAUUUGAGCUAUCAUGAGUUUACCAUGCUCUUCUUUAAAAAACGGUGUUUUAUCUGUUCCUACAUUCCGGUAU